GCCUGGGUGGCUCAGUUGGGAGAGCACAUGACUCUUGAUCUUGGGGUUGUGAGUUUGAGCCCCAUCUUGGGUG
rnacentral:tRNA from 1 species